GGGAUAUCUUUAGUAAUUGCGAAUGAACAAGGAUAUGCUUAGCUUGACAAAWGGAGCUAUUGGCUUUGAAUUGUAUUGUGGAAAUGUAUUACCAACAGAGGUGCAGGUGCCAGCCUAUUGAAAUAAAGCGUCAAUGAGGGUGAGAAUCCUGUUUGUCAUGUGCAGCCCUUUGUGCACGGUGUAUAUUUGUUGAGUCACACUCCUUGGCAUUGGAAUGCAAAGUGGGUGGUAAGUUUCAUGUAAAGGUAAACAUGCAAUUGAGACUGAUAGCACACAAGUACCAUGAGGGAAAUAUGAAAAGGACUUUGAAAAGAGAAUUAAAUGAGUUUGUAUUUGCUGAACACAAAGUAAACAGACUUGAUUUGCUUGGUGGGAGUGUUGCACUUGCUUGACAAGAGCUUUGGGCUGUGGGUGUAAUGAUUCUUUCUUUGCAUGCCAGUUUCUAUUUGUACAUCUGAUUACCUUUGCACAUGAAUGAUAAGUCUCCUGUGGGGGGUGGAUUGCAUGUGCAUGUAAUGAUUUGUGUUUUGAUAAAUGUGUCUGGUGUAUGUGUGUGUUCCUGUGCUUGGGGAUGCUUCCUUCCUUGGACUUACAAGCCCUGACACACACAUGCU
rnacentral:rRNA from 1 species